CUGCUCAGAUUGAACGCUGGCGGCAUGCCUUACACAUGCAAGUCGAACGGCAGCACGGGAGCAAUCCUGGUGGCGAGUGGCGAACGGGUGAGUAAUAUAUCGGAACGUGCCCAGUCGUGGGGGAUAACGCAGUGAAAGCUGUGCUAAUACCGCAUACGAUCUCUGGAUGAAAGCGGGGGACUCGGCAACGAGCCUCGCGCGAUUGGAGCGGCCGAUAUCAGAUUAGCUAGUUGGUGGGGUAAAAGCCCACCAAGGCGACGAUCUGUAGCUGGUCUGAGAGGACGACCAGCCACACUGGAACUGAGACACGGUCCAGACUCCUACGGGAGGCAGCAGUGGGGAAUUUUGGACAAUGGGCGCAAGCCUGAUCCAGCAAUGCCGCGUGCAGGAUGAAGGCCUUCGGGUUGUAAACUGCUUUUGUACGGAACGAAAAAGUCUGCCCUAAUACGGUGGGCCCAUGACGGUACCGUAAGAAUAAGCACCGGCUAACUACGUGCCAGCAGCCGCGGUAAUACGUAGGGUGCGAGCGUUAAUCGGAAUUACUGGGCGUAAAGCGUGCGCAGGCGGUUAUAUAAGUCAGAUGUGAAAUCCCCGGGCUCAACCUGGGACCUGCAUUUGAGACUGUAUAGCUAGAGUACGGUAGAGGGGGAUGGAAUUCCGCGUGUAGCAGUGAAAUGCGUAGAUAUGCGGAGGAACACCGAUGGCGAAGGCAAUCCCCUGGACCUGUACUGACGCUCAUGCACGAAAGCGUGGGGAGCAAACAGGAUUAGAUACCC
rnacentral:rRNA from 1 species